CGACGUGAGGAGCCUGCCUCAAAGAGGGGGACAACAGUUGGAAACGACUGCUAAUACCGCAUAAGCCCACAGCUCGGCAUCGAGCAGAGGGAAAAGGAGUGAUCCGCUUUGAGAUGGCCUCGCGUCCGAUUAGCUAGUUGGUGAGGUAAUGGCCCACCAAGGCGACGAUCGGUAGCCGGACUGAGAGGUUGAACGGCCACAUUGGGACUGAGACACGGCCCAG
rnacentral:rRNA from 1 species